CUCUUAUCCUGAGAGGUGGAGGGACUGGCCCUAUGAAACCCGGCAACCAUCCGGAAAUAUCCCGGACAGGUGCUAAUUCCUGCAGGAGAUGAUCAUCUUCUGGCAGAUAAGAG
rnacentral:ncRNA from 2 species